rnacentral:sRNA from 1 species
AGUCGCAGGCGUGCUGCUGAGGCGUGAGAAUGGCGUAUCGCGGCCGGCGUCCGGAGCAUGGCGGACCCCCAGAGCUGUUUUAUGACGAGACAGAAGCCCGGAAAUACGUUCGCAACUCACGGAUGAUUGAUAUCCAGACCAGGAUGGCUGGGCGAGCAUUGGAGCUUCUUUAUCUGCCAGAGAAUAAGCCCUGUUACCUGCUGGAUAUUGGCUGUGGCACUGGGCUGAGUGGAGGUUAUCUGUCAGAUGAAGGGCACUAUUGGGUGGGCCUGGAUAUCAGCCCUGCCAUGCUGGGUCCGGGGAUCCCGAGCUGUCCUGCAGCUGUACCCUGAGAACUCAGAGCAGGUGAGUCCCUCGGCUACUGGGUGUGCAGGGGAGUGGGGGGACUCAACAGGUAAGCUGUCCUGGGGAAGCGACAAAGAACCUUAUGCAGAUUGGCGGGAAAAGGAGGAACCAUGCACCCUAGUGUGGCCCCUGAUGGCACAUUUGACGACCUGAUAUCCUAAGGGGGUGGCAUCUGCGGAGGUGGGGUGGGAUGCCUUCUCUUGGCAGAUGACAUGGUAUUACAGAUA